GAUGAACGCUGGCGGCGUGCCUAAUACAUGCAAGUCGAGCGAACGGACGAGAAGCUUGCUUUUCUGAUGUUAGCGGCGGACGGGUGAGUAACACGUGGAUAACCUACCUAUAAGACUGGGAUAACUUCGGGAAACCGGAGCUAAUACCGGAUAAUAUUUUGAACCGCAUGGUUCAAAAGUGAAAGACGGUCUUGCUGUCACUUAUAGAUGGAUCCGCGCUGCAUUAGCUACUUGGUAAGGUAACGGCUUACCAAGGCAACGAUGCAUAGCCGACCUGAGAGGGUGAUCGGCCACACUGGAACUGAGACACGGUCCAGACUCCUACGGGAGGCAGCAGUAGGGAAUCUUCCGCAAUGGGCGAAAGCCUGACGGAGCAACGCCGCGUGAGUGAUGAAGGUCUUCGGAUCGUAAAACUCUGUUAUUAGGGAAGAACAUAUGUGUAAGUAACUGUGCACAUCUUGACGGUACCUAAUCAGAAAGCCACGGCUAACUACGUG
rnacentral:rRNA from 1 species